UUUUUCAUUCUCCUUCUGUCCUUAUAGUGUUGAGAAUUUAUCUGUAAAUUGCUUAAUUUCUUUGUAAUUGCAUAUGCUGAAGUGGGUUUGUUCACUCCAAGAAUUAUUUAGGAGUUCAAGAUUAAGUGUUCAAUUUUGAAUAUGGAGUUAAGAAACACGAGAUAUGAAGUAAUCAGCUUGUGGGGUUUGGCAUUUUGGUGUUGUAUCUGCUGUAUAAUUUGAAAGGAAAUAGCUGAUGGAUUGUAGAGAGGCUGAUGUGUCAAGCCAUCAACGUAAAGAGAAUGUUAAAAUUGAACUUCAGAAGCUUCACAUCGAUGUGGGGCAGGAGAGGGAAAGCCAAAUGGAUUCCUCUGUAGAAAGUAGCUGUGAAAGUACUGAUAGUGAGUGUGAUUGUCAGGACCCAAGUGUUUCUUCCAUUGAUAUUGAUAAAAAUCUGGGGGAUAUUAAUAAUGAUUGUCAGACUCCACGAGCUUCCUCCUCCAACAAGUGUGAGAUGGAUGUUGGUGGUGAGCAGAUAUCUCAAAGUUCAAAUGCAUCUGGGGCUGGGAUACUUGUAAAAGAUGAGGAAGUUACAUAUGUGAUACCAAAAGUUGGCAUGGAGUUUGAAUCAGAAGAUCAUGCAUACAAAUGUUACAGCAGAUAUGCUGUGUUGGAGGGAUUCAGCAUCAGGAAAGAUUUUGUGAAUAAAAGUAGGGUAAAUGGUGCAGUUGUUUCCAGGAGAUACACUUGUUAUAGGCAAGGUUAUCGGCCAGCAAAGCAUAAUGUGAAUGUCAGGAAGUCCGGGCAGGAAACAAGAACAGGUUGCUUGGCACAUAUGACUAUUGCACGUCAACCUAAUGGAAGGUUCCGUGUUACCCAUUUUGAAAUAAAACAUAAUCAUGAGUUUGUGACACAAAGUACCACCUAUAUGUUACCAUCACAGAAGAGAUUAACCUUUGCUCAAGCAGUUGAAGCUGACUUAGUUAAUAGUUCUAGGAUGGAUGGAAAACCAAAACUCGGAAUGGGGUUUGAGUCAGAAGACCAUGCAUAUGAGUUUUAUAAUGCAUAUGCUGGACGGAUAGGUUUUAGUGUUCGAAAAGAUUAUGUAAAUAGGAGCAAAAUAGAUGGUGCUGUGGCAUCUAGGAGGUUCACCUGUUUUAGGGAAGGUUAUCGGCAAAAAGACAAGCGGGAUUUGAAUGUGAAGAGAUCUCGAAAGGAAACCAGAGUUGGUUGCUUGGCACAGUUGGUGAUUUCUCGUCAAUCUGAUGGUAAAUACCGGGUCACGCAUUUUGAAGAAAAGCACAAUCAUGAGCUUGUCACUGCAUGUCGAGUGCGCAUGUUAAGAUCACAAAAGAGGUUAGUUGUGUCCAAAGUUGCUGAAGGGAAUGCACAAGAUGUCUUUACAAUACCACACAACACACUUGGAGAUGAACAUGGAUAUAAUCCCAUAGAUUACAAAAACAAACUUUCUUUUAAACAUACAAGAGAAAUGAAAGAGGGUGAAGUAGAAAGGAUACAACAAUAUUUGCAAAGUAAGCAAUUGAAAAAUCCAUCUUUCAUCUAUGUUAUGCAACUUGAUGCUGAAGAUCAAAUAACUAAUAUAUUUUGGGCCGAUUCAAAGAUGGUAGUGGAUUAUAGUGACUUUGGUGAUGUGGUUUGCUUUGAUACAACCUGCAAAUUAGUCAAAGAUGGUCGACCAUUUUCACCUUUCAUUGGGGUGAACCAUCAUAAGCAAAUGGUGAUCUUUGGUGCUGCACUAAUGUAUGAUGAAACUGUCGAGUCUUUCAAGUGGUUGUUUCAAACUUUCAUAGGGGUGAUGUCUGGGAAAAGGCCAAAAACUAUCCUCACUGAUCAAGAUGCGGUACUGGCUGAAGCGAUUGAUUUCGCACUGCCCGGAACACUUCAUCGAAUAUGUGUUUGGCACAUGUAUCAAAAAGCUCUUAAACAACUACACCACAUGUUUGUGGGCUCAGAUUCCUUUGAAAAUGAUUUAUGUAGUUGCUUCUUUGAUCAUGAGGAGGAAGAGGACUUCAUCCAUGCAUGGAAAGUUAUGCUGGAUGUUUAUGGUCUCUGGGAAAAUGAAUGGUUGAAUGAGAUAUUUAAAGAUAGAGAGAAGUGGGCCACAGCGUACAGAAGGCAUAUAUUUUGCGCUGAUAUAAGAUGUGCACAACUAUGUGAAUGUUUUUCAGCUAACUUGAGGAAGUAUCUGAAGUCUGACUCGGAUGUGCUAUUAUUUUUCAAGCAACUUGGGAAAAUGGUGAAUGAUUGGCACUACAAAGAAUUAGAAACUAACUAUGAUAUGAACCAACACAUGCCAAAACUAAUGGGGGAUGUGAUUCUCCUGAAGCAUGCAAGGGAUGUUUACACACCAAAGAUAUUUGAACUGUUUCAACAAGAAUAUGAAACGUGUCUGAAUACUGUCAUUAAUCAAUGCACUGGGACUGGUUCAUUGUUUGAGUAUAAAGUGAGCCUAUACAGGCAACAACAAGAGUAUACGGUGACGUAUAACUUGUCUGAUGAGACAGUCCUGUGCAGCUGUAUGAAAUUUGAGUAUAUGGGAGUUUUAUGCAGUCAUGCAUUAAAAGUGCUUGACUACAGAAAUAUCAAAAUACUACCUGACCGUUAUAUCUUAAAGAGGUGGACAAGAUAUGCGAGGGUUUGAAAUUCUAUACAUAGUGGGUGUAUUACAUGACAUCGCCUGGAAGUUGGCUUAUGGGAGCUGACAGUAGGUCUCUGAUCUCAAAAAAUGGGAUGGUAGCCAUGGAUUCUGCAUGUGAGGAAGCAUUUUUCAAUUUGCUCCUAAGCAAAUUCAUGUGAAGAGAGAGCAAAGCAAUAGAUUAGAAUCAAUGUUCUUGGUUGAAGGCUUCUGAGAAGGUUGGCAGAGUUUGCACUGGACUGUUCUGGGUGUGGAAGUUUUUCCUACUUUUGGUUAUGGAGGCUGUGUCGUUGGAACCUGUAAGAGAGGAGAAUCAGAAGAAGAAAUAUUACAUUAUUUUACCUGCUGGCUGCAUGGCAAAACUAGGGAAGACAUAUUUUACAGAUAAGUUUAGACAGAAUGUACCUUUUUCAUCUCAUCCUUAGAUGCUGCUCUUUCUUUAUAGAAAUUUGGCAGUGGCCUGGCCUUGAAGCAAAGGCUUUGUCGCAGUUUUCUUAGUUCUGUUUCUGCUUUCCCCUGCUCAAACAAAAGGAUCAAUGGCUGUCAUGUACUGAUAUGAACUAUGAACUCAAUUCAAUAUUGAAAUAUGAAGGAAGUGAUUCACAUUUACAAUA